AAGCUCCUCCCCCGGCGGCGAGCCAGGGAGAAAGGAUGGCCGGCCGGGCGGCGCGGUUGGUCCUGCUAGCUGGGGCAGCGGCGCUGGCGAGCGGCUCCCAGGGCGACCGUGAGCCGGUGUACCGCGACUGCGUACUGCAGUGCGAAGAGCAGAACUGCUCUGGGGGCGCUCUGAAUCACUUCCGCUCCCGCCAGCCAAUCUACAUGAGUCUAGCAGUGGCCCUUCUCCCGGUUCCUGUUCUUUCAAGAGCCGGCAUCGGCCGUGGCCUCGUUUCUCAAUGGCCUGGCCAGCCUGGUGAUGCUCUGCCGCUACCGCACCUUCGUGCCAGCCUCCUCCCCCAUGUACCACACCUGUGUGGCCUUCGCCUGGGUGUCCCUCAAUGCAUGGUUCUGGUCCACAGUCUUCCACACCAGGGACACUGACCUCACAGAGAAAAUGGACUACUUCUGUGCCUCCACUGUCAUCCUACACUCAAUCUACCUGUGCUGCGUCAGGUGAGCCUGCCUGGGUGGCUGCAGGGGCAAAAUCGAACCCUGGGGGCAGAAA
rnacentral:sRNA from 1 species